UGGGGAAUAUUGGACAAUGGGCGCAAGCCUGAUCCAGCCAUGCCGCGUGAGUGAUGAAGGCCCUAGGGUUGUAAAGCUCUUUCGACGGGGACGAUGAUGACGGUACCCGUAGAAGAAGCCCCGGCUAACUUCGUGCCAGCAGCCGCGGUAAUACGAAGGGGGCUAGCGUUGUUCGGAAUUACUGGGCGUAAAGCGCACGCAGGCGGCUUUUCAAGUCAGAAGUGAAAGCCCUGGGCUCAACCCGGGAAUUGCUCUUGAUACUGGAAGGCUAGAGUCACGGAGAGGGUAGGGGAAUUCCGAGUGUAGAGGUGAAAUUCGUAGAUAUUCGGAAGAACACCAGUGGCGAAGGCGCCUACCUGGCCGUGUACUGACGCUCAUGUGCGAAAGCGUGGGGAGCAAACAGG
rnacentral:rRNA from 1 species